UCUGACAAGAUCUGGCCUGUGAAUGGACCCGGCAUCGCAGGGAAAUCAAUGAAGUAAUUGACGAGAGAAGAUGAUAAACGAAGGGAUAAGGUAGAAACAAGUGCUGCUCACCCCAAGCUGAACUCCAGGAGGAGCUCAAGAUGAACAAGAGUUAAGGGAUCUGCCUCAAAGAGCCUGUACGUUACUUGGAGGAAAAAUACUAAAUUAUCAAGUGAACAAAAUAAAGAAGAUUCAUAUUGUGAUUGGUAAAAUAAAGGAAUUAAUAAUGAGACAUGAUACAAGUGACUGUUAGAAGACACAUGGACAAUUUAGUAACAGAGAUUUUAAAAUAAGAUAAACAUUUUCAAUGGAGAUGAUGAAAUCAGUGCAGACAAGGCUGCUUUUAUUUAAAAAGAGGAAUGAAAAGCAUGCUUUUUAAGCUAGUGGAUUGGCAAACAGAGUCCAAGGUUUUAAAAGAUCUGGCUGUUGUCCGACUGA